UGGGGAAUAUUGGACAAUGGGCGCAAGCCUGAUCCAGCCAUGCCGCGUGAGUGACGAAGGUCUUCGGAUUGUAAAACUCUUUUGGCGGGGACGAUAAUGACGGUACCCGCAGAAUAAGCCCCGGCUAACUUCGUGCCAGCAGCCGCGGUAAUACGAAGGGGGCUAGCGUUGUUCGGAAUCACUGGGCGUAAAGCGCACGUAGGCGGAUGUGCCAGUCAGGGGUGAAAUCCCGGAGCUCAACUCCGGAACUGCCUCUGAUACUGCACGUCUUGAGUUCGAGAGAGGUGGGUGGAAUUCCUAGUGUAGAGGUGAAAUUCGUAGAUAUUAGGAAGAACACCGGUGGCGAAGGCGGCCCACUGGCUCGAUACUGACGCUGAGGUGCGAAAGCGUGGGGAGCAAACAGGAUUAGAUACCCCGGUAGUCCCUGAGCGGGCUGGCAAGGCGCAU
rnacentral:rRNA from 1 species